rnacentral:rRNA from 1 species
GGGGGGGGGGGGGGGGGGGGGGGGGGGGGGGAGGGGGAGGGGAGCGGCGGGGAGCUGGCGCCGGGGGGGUUAGGGGAGGGCGGGGGGGUGACGCGUGGGGCACCUCCCUAUACAUCUGUGAUAACUUCGUGACACCUGAGCUCAUACAGGAUACUGUCUUGCCCCUCAUUUUUAACUAGUAACCGACUUUUUUGCCUUCCCUUCUCAAUGGCUCCGCGCCUCAUUAGCUAGUUGGUAAGGUAACGGCUUACCAAGGCGACUAUGCGUGGCCGACCUGAUAGGGUGAGCGGCCACAAUGGAACUGAGACACGGUCCAGACUCCUACGGGAGGCAGCAGUAGGGAAUCUUCCGCAAUGGGCGAAAGCCUGACGGAGCAACGCCGCGUGAGUGAUGAAGGUCUUCGGAUCGUAAAACUCUGUUAUUAGGCAAGAACAAAUGUGUAAGUAACUAUGCACGUCUUGACGGUACCUAAUCAGAAAGCCACGGCUAACUACGUG